UACGAACGGGGCUAGCGUUGCUCGGAAUUACUGGGCGUAAAGGGUGCGUAGGCGGGUGUUUAAGUCAGGGGGGAAAUCCUGGAGCUCAACUCCAGAACUGCCUUUGAUACUGAGGAUCUUGAGUUCGGGAGAGGUGAGUGGAACUGCGAGUGUAGAGGUGAAAUUCGUAGAUAUUCGCAAGAACACCAGUGGCGAAGGCGGCUCACUGGCCCGAUACUGACGCUGAGGCACGAAAGCGUGGGGAGCAAACAGG
rnacentral:rRNA from 1 species